rnacentral:rRNA from 1 species
GAUGAACGCUGGCGGCGUGCCUAAUACAUGCAAGUCGAGCGAACAGACGAGGAGCUUGCUCCUCUGACGUUAGCGGCGGACGGGUGAGUAACACGUGGAUAACCAACCUAUAAGACUGGGAUAACUUCGGGAAACCGGAGCUAAUACCGGAUAAUAUAUUGAACCGCAUGGUUCAAUAGUGAAAGACGGUUUUGCUGUCACUUAUAGAUGGAUCCGCGCCGCAUUAGCUAGUUGGUAAGGUAACGGCUUACCAAGGCAACGAUGCGUAGCCGACCUGAGAGGGUGAUCGGCCACACUGGAACUGAGACACGGUCCAGACUCCUACGGGAGGCAGCAGUAGGGAAUCUUCCGCAAUGGGCGAAAGCUUGACGGAGCAACGCCGCGUGAGUGAUGAAGGUCUUCGGAUCGUAAAACUCUGUUAUUAGGGAAGAACAAAUGUGUAAGUAACUAUGCACGUCUUGACGGUACCUAAUCAGAAAGCCACGGCUAACUACGUG